rnacentral:lncRNA from 1 species
GGAAAGGAUGCUCUUCCUCUACCACUACUUGCCGGCCCUCACCUUCCAGAUCCUGCUGCUCCCAAUCGUCAUGCAGCACGCCAGCGACCAUCUGUGCAGGUCCCAGCUGCAGAGGAAUGUCUUCAGUGCCCUGGUGGUAGCAUGGUAUUCCUCUGCGUGCCAUGUGUCCAACAUGUUACGCCCACUGACCUAUGGGGACACGUCACUCUCACCAGGCGAGCUCCGGGCCCUUCGCUGGAAAGACAGCUGGGACAUUCUCAUCCGAAAAUACUAGAGACCCAGAACACAGAAGACAAGCACGCAGAAUAAAAAUCUCAAAGGUGUGUUUGUCUCCCACCAACAGAGGCCUCAGCAGGCAGGACUCCCUGGGCUCAGGAAGAGCUCCAGGAAUGAAUUCCAAUUUCAUCUCAAGAGCCCUGUUUGAAGUGAUUUCUCCUCACACAGUGAAGAAUGUGCCCAGCCACAGCAUCACCCAUGAGGCCCAACUCUGACCAGUGUUUGAGCUGCCAGUGUAGGACUCACCUACACUACACCUAAGGCAGGAGGAGCAGCCAGUGAAGGAGUGAAGUCCAGGCCCCGCCCAGCUGUGCGCCCACCAAUGGGGUCUUAGCUCUCUCCCGAGGCCCACAGUACUGCCACUCAUUGUGUGCAGGUACAGUGGCCCUCUGUAAAGCCUGCUUGAAGAGCUGCCUUCACUCACACUGACUCCUCACCAAUGCGACUCUAGAAAUCCCUGGGAGACUGCACCAUGCAGUCACCUGACUUCAGGGACAGGACAAGGUGUCCUCCACGUGGUUCCCUUGCCUUUAAUUUGCCUUUCCUAAUGUAAAUAAAAAGGGACAAAUUGAUAA